UGAACCGCCAUCCGUCAGAACUCAUAAGAUAUAUAUAUAUUUAUUUCAUGGCCAAUUUGGCAACAUCCCUCAAUUAGCCUUUAUGCUAAUAAGCUCAUUUAACGUCAUUUUCACUUUCGUGCUUCAUAAUUCACGUUGUUUGAAAAAUUGCAGGUGCAUUUCCAAAUGGAAAUUAUUUUAAUAAGCAAAAAAAAAGAAAGAAAAAACCACCUAGGUAUGCUGCUUUCCUUGUAGUGUAAGCAUUUUUUGUUUUCAUUUGUAAUGUAACUCAAGGCUACUACUAGGAUAGUUCUAGUGUUUACAGUUUUCCCUUUCCUUGGUAUCAUGCUUGGCAUGAAGGGUGGCAAGGUAGCCUAUACGGUCGGUCACAGCUGACCUCACUGAUAAUGCAAAAGUUUAUGUGAAACCUCGGGCCACUUUCAUCGCCUGUUCGUAAUUUCGUUUUUGAAAUCAAUUCGUUUCACUGGAGCUGCUGUUGAUAAGUGGAUAAGAUCUUUUCUAUACAACAUGACAGUUACGUACGAAGCAGAAAUGGUAAUUAAUCAAUGCCAGCUGUUAUACAAUCGAAGAAUAUUGAUCAGAUGAAACAAAAUCUCCACAUUUGCUAAGAAACCUAGUAUUAAUCUUUCCUCGUAAUAUUCAGGUCCAAUGAGUAGGUACAGCAUCGCUCUUGUCCAUUGUGGUAAUUUUCUUUUCCAUACAACUGCCAUUCUAACGUAGCAAGGUGAAGAGAAAACAAUCUUUUUACCUUGUUUCUUGAUUUUCUUUAAAUUGGCUAACCUUCUGUAGAAAGAACAAAUUAAGAAAGGGGAACCAAAAGUUGGGCAAGGUUAAUAGAAUGAUGAAAUUAUUUUUGACCAAUAAUUUGGAAUGUCGAUUGUUGGUUUCCAUUGUUUCCUUUUGGUACACAUCCAUCACUCCCGAAGACUCGUGGACAUUCCACGCGAAGGUGUUACAAGCCCGUGAGACUUCCCCAAAAGGAUUCGUACUUUUUCAUGGUUGGAAUUUUAUGUCAGCAUGUUAAAUUCAAAAGAAGCCUCUAUCAGAAUUUAUUGCUUUUCUCCUCAAAAUCCAUGAAACAUGUAUCAAUGCUCCAUUGGUAUUGCGACAAGCGAUGGGAAGGUCAAGACACGCAUCAUUGAACUGGUCAAUUUGGAAAAAAAAUGACUGCCUGUAAAAAUGUUGUCGCCAUCAUUAGCUACUUGAUUCCAUAUGAAGGCUGCGGCCUAUAUUUUGACCAUAGCCUUCCUGGAUCAAGGGAAGGUGUCCGGCUUGCAGGAACAUCAAACGUGUUUUGACGCAGCAUAAUAAUCAAAGUUCUAAUCGUGCUGAUGGUCCAAUUUUUCACGAUAACUAAGAAAUCAAUGUGGAAGCGUGAAAUUAGUUAUAUGGAUAGUCAACUUCAACGCUUUUCGCUGCUCCGUCCCGAAGAUAAAAUAUUAAAAUUUUUAUAAAUUGAA